AUUGAACGCUGGCGGCAUGCUUUACACAUGCAAGUCGAACGGUAACAGGUUAAGCUGACGAGUGGCGAACGGGUGAGUAAUGCAUCGGAACGUGCCCGGUCGUGGGGGAUAACACUUCGAAAGAAGUGCUAAUACCGCAUACGAUCUGAGGAUGGAAGCGGGGGACCGUAAGGCCUCGCGCGAUCGGAGCGGCCGAUGUCAGAUUAGGUAGUUGGUGGGGUAAAGGCCCACCAAGCCGACGAUCUGUAGCUGGUCUGAGAGGACGACCAGCCACACUGGGACUGAGACACGGCCCAGACUCCUACGGGAGGCAGCAGUGGGGAAUUUUGGACAAUGGGCGCAAGCCUGAUCCAGCAAUGCCGCGUGCAGGAAGAAGGCCUUCGGGUUGUAAACUGCUUUUGUACGGAGCGAAAAGGCUCUCUCUAAUACAGGGGGCUGAUGACGGUACCGUAAGAAUAAGCACCGGCUAACUACGUGCCAGCAGCCGCAGUAA
rnacentral:rRNA from 1 species